GACGAACGCUGGCGGCGUGCCUAAUACAUGCAAGUAGAACGCUGAAGAGAGGAGCUUGCUCUUCUUGGAUGAGUUGCGAACGGGUGAGUAACGCGUAGGUAACCUGCCUUGUAGCGGGGGAUAACUAUUGGAAACGAUAGCUAAUACCGCAUAACAAUGGAUGACACAUGUCAUUUAUUUGAAAGGGGCAAUUGCUCCACUACAAGAUGGGCCUGCGUUGUAUUAGCUAGUAGGUGAGGUAACGGCUCACCUAGGCGACGAUACAUAGCCGACCUGAGAGGGUGAUCGGCCACACUGGGACUGAGACACGGCCCAGACUCCUACGGGAGGCAGCAGUAGGGAAUCUUCGGCAAUGGGGGCAACCCUGACCGAGCAACGCCGCGUGAGUGAAGAAGGUUUUCGGAUCGUAAAGCUCUGUUGUAAGUCAAGAACGAGUGUGGGAGUGGAAAGUUCACACUGUGACGGUAGCUGACCAGAAAGGGACGGCUAACUACGUG
rnacentral:rRNA from 1 species